rnacentral:rRNA from 1 species
UACGUAGGUCCCGAGCGUUGUCCGGAUUUAUUGGGCGUAAAGCGAGCGCAGGUGGUUUAUUAAGUCCGGUGUAAAAGGCAGUGGCUCAACCAUUGUAUGCAUUGGAAACUGGUAGACUUGAGUGCAGGAGAGGAGAGUGGAAUUCCAUGUGUAGCGGUGAAAUGCAUAGAUAUCACGCAGAACUCCGAUUGCGAAGGCAGCGUACCGGCAUCCAACUGACGCUGAGGCACGAAAGCGUGGGGAUCAAACAGG